rnacentral:rRNA from 1 species
AUUGAACGCUGGCGGCAUGCUUUACACAUGCCAGUCGAACGGCAGCGCGGGCUUCGGCCUGGCGGCGAGUGGCGAACGGGUGAGUAAUGCAUCGGAACGUGCCCAGUAGUGGGGGAUAGCCCGGCGAAAGCCGGAUUAAUACCGCAUACGACCUGAGGGUGAAAGCGGGGGACCGAAAGGCCUCGCGCUAUUGGAGCGGCCGAUGUCGGAUUAGCUAGUUGGUGGGGUAAAGGCUUACCAAGGCGACGAUCCGUAGCUGGUCUGAGAGGACGACCAGCCACACUGGGACUGAGACACGGCCCAGACUCCUACGGGAGGCAGCAGUGGGGAAUUUUGGACAAUGGGGGCAACCCUGAUCCAGCCAUGCCGCGUGCGGGAAGAAGGCCUUCGGGUUGUAAACCGCUUUUGUUCGGGAAGAAAUCCUCCGGGCUAAUACCCCGGGGGGAUGACGGUACCGGAAGAAUAAGCACCGGCUAACUACGUG